AUUGAACGCUGGCGGCAGGCCUAACACAUGCACGUCGAGCGAGCGGCGGACGGGUGAGUAAUGUCUGGGAAACUGCCUGAUGGAGGGGGAUAACUACUGGAAACGGUAGCUAAUACCGCAUACCAUCAGAGGUGCCCAGAUGGGAUUAGCUAGUAGGUGGGGGAAUGGCUCACCUAGUCGACGAUCCAUAGCUGGUCUGAGAGGAUGACCAGCCACACUGGAACUGAGACACGGUCCAGACUCCGACGGGAGGCAGCAGUGGGUAAUAUUGCACAAUGGGCGCAAGCCUGCUGCAGCCAUGCCGCGUGUAUGAAGAAGGCCUUCGGGUUGUAAAGUACUUUCAGCGGUGAGGCGUUACCCGCAGAAGAAGCACCGGCUAACUCCGUGCCAGCAGCCGCGGUAAUUC
rnacentral:rRNA from 1 species